GCGGCGGUGCUGUUGUGGUUUUGUGAGUUGCUAAUUUCUUGUGCGGGAAGUGGAAGUGGGAAUGGGAAAGGGGAGUAGCAGACGGGUGAGGGCGUUCAAGCGGUGGAUGAAGCGGGAAGGGAUCGAAUGCAGCGACGCCCUGGACUUGAGGGACGAAGGAGUCGAAAUCGGAAUCAGCGUGAGCGCCCUAGCCCACCUCAAGGAAGGGGACGUGGUGGCCAGAAUACCAAAGCUCACGUGCCUCACCACAAGAACCACCGCCGCACGUGACAUUAUCUCCGCCGCCGCCGGUGAGGGCGAGGAGGAGUCUUGUUUAGGAGGGUUAGCAGGGCUGGCGGUGGCGCUGAUGUACGAGAGGAGCUUGGGAGAGCGUUCACGGUGGGCCGCAUACCUUGAGUUGUUGAGCAAAGAAGAAGAGUCGUUGCCUUUGGUUUGGAGGGCCGACGAGGUUGAGCAGCUGCUGGCAGGGACAGAGCUGGAGGGAACGGUCAAGGAAGACAAAGGAGUUAUGUGGAAGGAGUGGAAGGAGAGCAUUGAGCCCACGUUACUACUGCAAAUGCAUCCUUUGGAUGCGGCCGCCGUUGAAUUCGACCCGAGCUUCUUCGGAUUCGGAGACUACUUGGCGGCAAGAACGCUGAUAUCUUCUCGUUCUUUUCAGAUUGAUGAAUACCACGGAGUAGGAAUGGUUCCUUUGGCUGACCUGUUUAAUCAUAAAACGGGAGCUGAGGAUGUGCACUUAAUGACCUCUCCUCACAAAAGUGAAUACAACACCACCCAAGAAAACAAUGAAUCUGAUACUACUAGUACUAGUAUUAGUGCCAUUCAUGAUGAUGAUAUGUCUGCUUCUAUUACUGUUGACGAGGGUGAGGGUGACGAUAGUGGAGGUGAGGGUGACAAUGGUGAUCGUGACAAUAGUGAGGGCGGUGAUGAUGAUGACAGUGAUGAUUCUGGUGACGGUGACAGUGAUGAUUAUGGUGAUGGUGAUGGUGAUGGUGAUGACAGUGAUGGUGAUGAUUUGGAAAUGACUAUGGUGAAAGAUGUCAAACUGGGAGCUGAGGUCUUUAAUACAUACGGGUCAUUGGGUAAUGCUGCACUGCUUCACAGAUAUGGAUUUACAGAGCCAGAUAAUCCGUAUGACAUUGUCAAUAUCGACUUGGAACUGAUACUCCAGUGGAGUUCAUCCUUGUUUUCUGGCCAGCAUCGUAGAGCAAGGCUAUCCCUCUGGAAAAGAUUGGAUUACUCUGGAUGUGUCACCCACAACUCUGAAUAUUUUGAGGUUUCAUUUAAUGGAGAACCUGAAAUUGAGAUGUUGGUUUUAUUGUACAUAAUGUUGUUACCACAUGAUGCAUAUUAUAAGAUGGAUCUUGCUCUAGCAACUGCAGGAAGUUCCAGUAAACCCAUGGACAUCAUUUUUUCCAAUAAAAGCAAAAAAUUGUGCCACAAAACUGGACUAUUGAGUGAGGACCUGUUGCUGAGAAAAUCUCUUUGUAAUGCUCUUUUGUCCCUUGCAGAUAUGCGGGACAGCCUUUAUGGUACAAAUUCAAUAGAAGAUGAUAUAGAAGCAUUGGGCAGGUGUUGUUGCUUAAGUGACAAAAAGUUGUACCAUUCUUUGAUGCUUCGUAUCAGUGAGAGGAGGAUCCUUCAGAAGCUUAAAAUGUAUGCUGCUAAAGAAACCUCUGUAAGGAAGAAGUUGAAAAGAAAAUGAGUUUAGGACACUUACUAAAUUAUCAUCCAUGGCUUUUCUUUUUCCACUGCCUGUUUUCAUGCACUGGCUAUGAUUUCCUCACCUGGUGAAGCCUCUUUUGCGAAUGGAAUUGAUGGGAAGAAACAUAAAUUAUGAUUGUUCAACAGCUUAUUGGCAUAGGCUCUAUAUCUUUGAGCUAGUGGUGUUAUAUCAACAAUGUCAUCGACAGAUCGGUUCAGUGACAUCGGGGAAGCUGUGCCAGGCAGGAUUUUUGAGCUUGUUAGAAUACCCAAACUCGGUCAUUUGCUGAGGGCCCCUUUUAUCUACACAAGCCUCUUCACAGUAGGGUCGAUAAGUGUUAUUUGGAUCCAAUAUACUCAUGAGACCCCCCCUCCCAAAAAUAGCUCAUGUAUUCGCCUACUUCAUGAUGUAAAGGGGGAUAAGAAUGUUGAGGAGAAGUGCCACCCCGGAUCCCUAUGAUAUAGAAGAGAAUAAAAUCUCAAAAUAAUAUCUCUACCGUUAAUUGCUCUA